AAUAGAAUAGGUUGAGAACAUCACAAUGAAGUCAAUAUAUUCAUCAUCAUCGUGGGCAUCCAAGUAUUUCAUACCACGAGUCAAUUUAAAAGUGGCUUCCUUUUAUCCUACUCGUAAUGUAAGGUUACCCUCAAAUACGUCUAUGAUCGCCUUAGACGUGUUUAGAAAGGGUCUACCCAAGUCAUCAAUCACAACGAGAUCAACCUAAAACACAAACUUUCCAACACACACAAUGACAUCCUCGCCAAUACGCACAAUUAGAAUCAAAUUACAUCAAAUUGCAUAUAUGAAUAGAUCGAAAUUCUAGGAUAAUAUGCACAGCACAGCCUACAGUAUCGCUCUAUUUGGCCUCGAAUUUGUACAUUUUUUAUAGAAAAUCUAGAUUUGGUUUAUUUUUUAUUUAGAUGAUUUAGAGAAUUCAAAAAAAUGCACAAUGAAAUCCUCAACGACACUGUCACGGAGGUCUCCCGUCCAGGAGCAAAUUCUACCUGCAAUCUGCCACUUCCGCCGCGGGGAAGGGUGAUCGGCUUGCUCGUACGGUGCAAGGUUGAAGUACUAUGGAGUCUCCGUUGAUCGAGGAUGUUUGGGGUGGAUCAAACACCCUGCUCUCCUGUCGAAGCCAUCGUGGCUCGUG
rnacentral:lncRNA from 1 species